rnacentral:rRNA from 1 species
UACAGAGGGGGCAAGCGUUGUUCGGAAUUACUGGGCGUAAAGGGCGCGUAGGCGGCUUGGCAAGUGGAAGGUGAAAUCCCUCGGCUUAACCGAGGAACUGCCUUCCAGACUGCUUUGCUUGAGGCCGGGAGAGGCGAGUGGAAUUCCCAGUGUAGCGGUGAAAUGCGUAGAUAUUGGGAGGAACACCAGUGGCGAAGGCGGCUCGCUGGACCGGUUCUGACGCUGAGGCGCGAAAGCGUGGGGAGCAAACGGG